rnacentral:rRNA from 1 species
AUUGAACGCUGGCGGCAUGCUUUACACAUGCAAGUCGAACGGCAGCGCGGGGGCAACCCUGGCGGCGAGUGGCGAACGGGUGAGUAAUGCAUCGGAACGUAUCCUGUAAUGGGGGAUAACGUAGCGAAAGUUACGCUAAUACCGCAUACGCUCGGGAGAGGAAAGUGGGGGAUCGCAAGACCUCACGUUACAGGAGCGGCCGAUGUCCGAUUAGCUAGUUGGUGGGGUAAAGGCCUACCAAGGCGACGAUCGGUAGCUGGUCUGAGAGGAUGAUCAGCCACACUGGGACUGAGACACGGCCCAGACUCCUACGGGAGGCAGCAGUGGGGAAUUUUGGACAAUGGGCGAAAGCCUGAUCCAGCCAUGCCGCGUGCGGGAAGAAGGCCUCGGUUGUAACCGCUUAGUCCGGAAAAGGGACGUGACGUGCUAUACCGCGUUGGUUUGUAUGGUACUGGAAGAAUAAGACACCGGCGUAACUACGUGCCAGCAGCCGCGGUAAACGAUACUCGUA